GUGAGUGCUUAACAAAUACCACUGAGAAAAAAACAAAAAAAAAAAGGAUGGAACCUGUCUCUCUGGUGGAGGCCUGGCCCACUCACCACUGCUGGGGAAUCCAAAGCCAACUACUGUGCUUUUGGAACAGUUUCAACUUUCAAAGUUGUGGGUACUUUCUACAGUUUCUGAUCAAUGACAUGGUCAAAGGAAUCCAGGGCACGCCUACCUCAUUUGGCCGGGGUUGUUAACACUUUGGAAGAUAAAAAGAGAGCUCAAAAUGACCCAAACUGGAAACAUGGCUCUAUAGAAACGGGAUAAAAUUUAACAGGGGCUGGUGCAGGAACAGAAACAAACUCCCCUAAUCUGGGGAGGGCAGGAAGGCUGACUAGGCGCAAAGGCAGCAGAAAAGACUAGAAGCAAAACAUCAGUCAGCCAUAUAUUAAAAAACUAACACAGUUCUAGGGUGCAUCAAGAGGAAUACAACAAGCAAGAAUAAGGAAGUAUCCUUUUCGCUGCUACACCCUGAACCAGUCACACUCUUGCUAGGGGUACUGUGGCUGCCUAGGAGCACUGUACUUGGAAAAGAAAACCAACGGUAAGAAACUAGCAUGUUUACUGAAGUGAUAAAAAUCAGUAAAGGGCUAGGAAAUAGGAUGAAUGAUGGUCUCCAAACACCUGAAGAGCUUCACUGAAAAGCGGUUCUCUGUGUUUGUAUCCCCUGAGCAUCUGGCUCAUUUUUACCCAGGUGCAGAUUCCCACUGCUGCGGACAACUGCUCAUAACGGUUCAGGGGAGGCCAAAGGAAGAAAACAAAUAUCAAUCAGUGAUGACUUUGUGCACACAUACGUAAAGAUGCCUGAAAUAAUCAAAGAAAACUAGAAAAGGACGUUAAAAUAGACAAAAAGGACUUGAAUUAUCUAAUCUUCAUUCUUUGGAUUCUCAGCCCCCAAGACUUCGUGCCUUGAUCCAUUGAUGAGAGACUCCAUCCGGAUCAUCAUCUUUGCCUCAGGAAAAGGUGGCCUAGAAACCUCACCGAUGCCAAGAAACACUACCUUUCCAGGCCAUGUUAGUAUAGAGGAUGUCUUACUGGCUGCCCUCCCUAUGGAUGGCUCUAUCUCCAAACCCUUGAACACUGUAAACAGAAAUUCCCACAGUCCAACAAUCACAGCAGUGUGGCCUAGUGGAAAGAGCAAGGGCCUGGAUUCUGAUCUUGGC